rnacentral:rRNA from 1 species
GGUUAAGCGACUAAGCGUACACGGUGGAUGCCCUGGCAGUCAGAGGCGAUGAAGGGCGUGCUAAUCUGCGAUAAGCGCCGGUAAGGUGAUAUGAACCGUUAUAACCGGCGAUACCCGAAUGGGGAAACCCAGUGUGAUUCGUCACACUAUCAUUAACUGAAUCCAUAGGUUAAUGAGGCGAACCGGGGGAACUGAAACAUCUAAGUACCCCGAGGAAAAGAAAUCAACCGAGAUUCCCCCAGUAGCGGCGAGCGAACGGGGAGGAGCCCAGAGCCUGAAUCAGCAUGUGUGUUAGUGGAAGCGUCUGGAAAGGCGCGCGAUACAGGGUGACAGCCCCGUACACAAAAGCGUAUGUGCUGUGAGCUCGAUGAGUAGGGCGGGACACGUGGUAUCCUGUCUGAAUAUGGGGGGACCAUCCUCCAAGGCUAAAUACUCCUGACUGACCGAUAGUGAACCAGUACCGUGAGGGAAAGGCGAAAAGAACCCCGGCGAGGGGAGUGAAAAAGAACCUGAAACCGUGUACGUACAAGCAGUGGGAGCACCCUUUGGGGUGUGACUGCGUACCUUUUGUAUAAUGGGUCAGCGACUUAUAUUCUGUAGCAAGGUUAACCGAAUAGGGGAGCCGGAGGGAAACCGAGUCUUAAUUGGGCGUUAAGUUGCAGGGUAUAGACCCGAAACCCGGUGAUCUAGCCAUGGGCAGGUUGAAGGUUGGGUAACACUAACUGGAGGACCGAACCGACUAAUGUUGAAAAAUUAGCGGAUGACCUGUGGCUGGGGGUGAAAGGCCAAUCAAACCGGGAGAUAGCUGGUUCUCCCCGAAAGCUAUUUAGGUAGCGCCUCGUGAAUUCAUCUCCGGGGGUAGAGCACUGUUUCGGCUAGGGGGUCAUCCCGACUUACCAACCCGAUGCAAACUGCGAAUACCGGAGAAUGUUAUCACGGGAGACACACGGCGGGUGCUAACGUCCGUCGUGAAGAGGGAAACAACCCAGACCGCCAGCUAAGGUCCCAAAGUCAUGGUUAAGUGGGAAACGAUGUGGGAAGGCACAGACAGCCAGGAUGUUGGCUUAGAAGCAGCCAUCAUUUAAAGAAAGCGUAAUAGCUCACUGGUCGAGUCGGCCUGCGCGGAAGAUGUAACGGGGCUAAACCAUGCACCGAAGCUGCGGCAGCGACACUCAGG